rnacentral:rRNA from 1 species
GGUUAAGCGACUAAGCGUACACGGUGGAUGCCCUGGCAGUCAGAGGCGAUGAAGGACGUGCUAAUCUGCGAUAAGCGUCGGUAAGGUGAUAUGAACCGUUAUAACCGGCGAUUUCCGAAUGGGGAAACCCAGUGUGAUUCGUCACACUAUCAUUAACUGAAUCCAUAGGUUAAUGAGGCGAACCGGGGGAACUGAAACAUCUAAGUACCCCGAGGAAAAGAAAUCAACCGAGAUUCCCCCAGUAGCGGCGAGCGAACGGGGAGCAGCCCAGAGCCUGAAUCAGUGUGUGUGUUAGUGGAAGCGUCUGGAAAGGCGCGCGAUACAGGGUGACAGCCCCGUACACAAAAAUGCACAUGCUGUGAGCUCGAUGAGUAGGGCGGGACACGUGGUAUCCUGUCUGAAUAUGGGGGGACCAUCCUCCAAGGCUAAAUACUCCUGACUGACCGAUAGUGAACCAGUACCGUGAGGGAAAGGCGAAAAGAACCCCGGCGAGGGGAGUGAAAAAGAACCUGAAACCGUGUACGUACAAGCAGUGGGAGCCUCUUAAUGGGGUGACUGCGUACCUUUUGUAUAAUGGGUCAGCGACUUAUAUUCUGUAGCAAGGUUAACCGAAUAGGGGAGCCGAAGGGAAACCGAGUCUUAACUGGGCGUUAAGUUGCAGGGUAUAGACCCGAAACCCGGUGAUCUAGCCAUGGGCAGGUUGAAGGUUGGGUAACACUAACUGGAGGACCGAACCGACUAAUGUUGAAAAAUUAGCGGAUGACUUGUGGCUGGGGGUGAAAGGCCAAUCAAACCGGGAGAUAGCUGGUUCUCCCCGAAAGCUAUUUAGGUAGCGCCUCGUGAAUUCAUCUCCGGGGGUAGAGCACUGUUUCGGCAAGGGGGUCAUCCCGACUUACCAACCCGAUGCAAACUGCGAAUACCGGAGAAUGUUAUCACGGGAGACACACGGCGGGUGCUAACGUCCGUCGUGAAGAGGGAAACAACCCAGACCGCCAGCUAAGGUCCCAAAGUCAUGGUUAAGUGGGAAACGAUGUGGGAAGGCCCAGACAGCCAGGAUGUUGGCUUAGAAGCAGCCAUCAUUUAAAGAAAGCGUAAUAGCUCACUGGUCGAGUCGGCCUGCGCGGAAGAUGUAACGGGGCUAAACCAUGCACCGAAGCUGCGGCAGCGACACUAUGUGUUGUUGGGUAGGGGAGCGUUCUGUAAGCCUGCGAAGGUGUACUGUGAGGUAUGCUGGAGGUAUCAGAAGUGCGAAUGCUGACAUAAGUAACGAUAAAGCGGGUGAAAAGCCCGCUCGCCGGAAGACCAAGGGUUCCUGUCCAACGUUAAUCGGGGCAGGGUGAGUCGACCCCUAAGGCGAGGCCGAAAGGCGUAGUCGAUGGGAAACAGGUUAAUAUUCCUGUACUUGGUGUUACUGCGAAGGGGGGACGGAGAAGGCUAUGUUGGCCGGGCGACGGUUGUCCCGGUUUAAGCGUGUAGGCUGGUUUUCCAGGCAAAUCCGGAAAAUCAAGGCUGAGGCGUGAUGACGAGGCACUACGGUGCUGAAGCAACAAAUGCCCUGCUUCCAGGAAAAGCCUCUAAGCAUCAGGUAACAUCAAAUCGUACCCCAAACCGACACAGGUGGUCAGGUAGAGAAUACCAAGGCGCUUGAGAGAACUCGGGUGAAGGAACUAGGCAAAAUGGUGCCGUAACUUCGGGAGAAGGCACGCUGAUACGUAGGUGAAGCGACUUGCUCGUGGAGCUGAAAUCAGUCGAAGAUACCAGCUGGCUGCAACUGUUUAUUAAAAACACAGCACUGUGCAAACACGAAAGUGGACGUAUACGGUGUGACGCCUGCCCGGUGCCGGAAGGUUAAUUGAUGGGGUUAGCGGUAACGCGAAGCUCUUGAUCGAAGCCCCGGUAAACGGCGGCCGUAACUAUAACGGUCCUAAGGUAGCGAAAUUCCUUGUCGGGUAAGUUCCGACCUGCACGAAUGGCGUAAUGAUGGCCAGGCUGUCUCCACCCGAGACUCAGUGAAAUUGAACUCGCUGUGAAGAUGCAGUGUACCCGCGGCAAGACGGAAAGACCCCGUGAACCUUUACUAUAGCUUGACACUGAACAUUGAGCCUUGAUGUGUAGGAUAGGUGGGAGGCUUUGAAGUGUGGACGCCAGUCUGCAUGGAGCCGACCUUGAAAUACCACCCUUUAAUGUUUGAUGUUCUAACGUUGGCCCCUGAUCGGGGUUGCGGACAGUGUCUGGUGGGUAGUUUGACUGGGGCGGUCUCCUCCUAAAGAGUAACGGAGGAGCACGAAGGUUGGCUAAUCCUGGUCGGACAUCAGGAGGUUAGUGCAAUGGCAUAAGCCAGCUUGACUGCGAGCGUGACGGCGCGAGCAGGUGCGAAAGCAGGUCAUAGUGAUCCGGUGGUUCUGAAUGGAAGGGCCAUCGCUCAACGGAUAAAAGGUACUCCGGGGAUAACAGGCUGAUACCGCCCAAGAGUUCAUAUCGACGGCGGUGUUUGGCACCUCGAUGUCGGCUCAUCACAUCCUGGGGCUGAAGUAGGUCCCAAGGGUAUGGCUGUUCGCCAUUUAAAGUGGUACGCGAGCUGGGUUUAGAACGUCGUGAGACAGUUCGGUCCCUAUCUGCCGUGGGCGCUGGAGAACUGAGGGGGGCUGCUCCUAGUACGAGAGGACCGGAGUGGACGCAUCACUGGUGUUCGGGUUGUCAUGCCAAUGGCACUGCCCGGUAGCUAAAUGCGGAAGAGAUAAGUGCUGAAAGCAUCUAAGCACGAAACUUGCCCCGAGAUGAGUUCUCCCUGACUCCCUGAGAGUCCUGAAGGAACGUUGAAGACGACGACGUUGAUAGGCCGGGUGUGUAAGCGCAGCGAUGCGUUGAGCUAACCGGUACUAAUGAACCGUGAGGCUUAACCUU